UAGGGAAUCUUCGGCAAUGGACGAAAGUCUGACCGAGCAACGCCGCGUGAGUGAAGAAGGUUUCGGAUCGUAAAACUCUGUUGGUAGAGAAGAACGUUGGUGAGAGUGGAAAGCUCAUCAAGUGACGGUAACUACCCAGAAAGGGACGGCUAACUACGUGCCAG
rnacentral:rRNA from 1 species